AGGCAGCCCUGGCCUCCUCCCGGGACAUCAUGCAGAUCGACCUGGACGUCAACCGGACGUUCCGCAGUCACACCAUGUUCUGGGACCGCUACGGGGUUGGGCAGCGAGCCCUGUUCCAUGUGCUGGCGGCCUACUCGGUGUAUGACACCGUGAGUGUCCCUGCCCCCGCCUCCUGCCCCGCCGGCGGCCUUGUCCUGAGUGCUGGUGACCAGCGGGACUCACAGUCAGGGGCCCAGCUCCACGGCCCCCAGAUGCCGGGGAGGGUCUCUCUCCUCCGGGACGGGCAGGGGGCGGGGUGCAGGCCUCCCAGGGGAGGUAGGGCCUGCGUGCCCGAGGGCCGGGGCUGCCAGGGGCCCCCAAGUGCACCGCGGCCGUCCUAGAGCUCGGGUCUGGACUCUGACAGACGGCACUACUGAUGAGAACCCGGGCGGGGAAGGCUCCCACUCCCCUGAAGGGCACGAGGCCGAGGCGUCCAAGAGGCCGCCCCCUUCCACGGCGCAUUCCAGAAGGGUCCCCAAGGACCCCAGCUCACACGCUCCCCGGCCCCGCGGGGUGUCCUGGCCCUGCUCCCCUCGUGGGACCUCCCAGGGGCCACAGUCAGGCCCCCGACCUGCCCUCCGGUGGGUCUCCAGACCUGGCGGGUCCCCUGCAGCCUGGCAUAGCUCACGGAGGCCCCUCCUGCUGGUCUGAGGACGGGGGCCCUGGCACGGUGGCCACAGGGCUCGGUAGCUGGUCCUGGUGGCCCUCACUUACCCCCCUGCCCUCUGGGAGCCCCCUCCGGGAGCCCGGGCUGUGAGGGAGCCAGGGGAGCCUGACACCCGCGGGGAGGGAUCAGAAAAGGCCUCGGGGUGCACGCCCUCCGUGGGGCUCUGGCUCUUGCAGGAGGUGGGCUACUGCCAGGGCAUGAGCGAGAUCGCGGCCAUCGUCCUCAUGUUCCUGCCCGAGAACGCCUUCUGGGCGCUGGCCCAGCUGAUGACAGACGACAGGCAUGCCAUGCACGGCUUCUUCGUCCCAGGCUUCCAGAAGCUCCUCAGGUUCCAGGCUCAUCACCAGCGCGUCCUCCAAAGAGCUCUCCCCGACCUGAGGAAGCACAUGGCACAUGGGAGCUCCUGAGGACGAGGAGCAGAUGUCCACCGGCAUCUAUACCCCAAAGUGGUUCCUGCAGUGCUUCCUCAGCCGAACCCCCUUCUCACUCACCCUGAAGCUGUGGGAUGUUUACAUACUGGAUGGGGAGCGGGUGCUCACGGCCCUGGCCUACACCAUCCUCAAGGUGCACACAAAGAGCCUCCUGAAGCUGCCCCUGGAAGGGCUCCGGGAGUUCCUCCAGGACUCUCCGGCCCAGCCCUGGGCCCUGGAGGACGAGGCGGUGCUCAGACACCUUCGGGCCUCCAUGACCCAGCUCCGGAGGAUGCGGUGCGACCUGCCCCCACCCAGGUGGGCUCAGGGCCCCGGCCCCUCCCGACUCGGCCUGCUGGGGCCACCCAAAGGGGACAGAGCCCCCGUCCUCAUCUCUGGGGCUCUCCUCUUCUGCUCUAGCCUUGGGGACUCCAGGCUAGGGCUGGGCGGGCAGGCACCCACUGCAGGGCCCGGGCACCAGUGUGGGGGGCUGAGCACAGGGUCAGGCGGGGGGGCCACAAGGGAGCUGAGGACCCCCGGGGCCCCCAGCGGGGAACACAUAGCCUGCUGGAGACGCUGACCCCGUCAGCCUCUUUCCAGCGGGACCUGGAGUUCCCCACGAGGCCCCUCGGCCUGAAGCGAGUGUCCCCGGCGCCCAGGCCUCUCCUCCCUUCUCCGGCCUCUGAGCCACCGCCCAGGGUGGAGGAGCAGGCCUCCCCGGGCCCAGCCACCCAGCCUGAGCCGCCCGGACCCCCUCCCAGCCAGGCCAUCGUCCAACUUCCCCCCCAGCGAUGGAACUCCCUCCCCACCCUCCCAGUGUAACAAGACGGUGCGGGCAGGUGGCCCCCGGACACGGUGGGCUUGAAGACAAAAAACGGGGUCCCCUUCCCUUCGGCACCUGCCUGGGCCACCCCAGAGGCCCCGCGACGGACCAGGCCCUGGAGCACCCCCGGGACUCCCAUCACGGGGUCCCCCCAGCCCCCUAGGGACGACGCUGUCGGGCCCAGGACACCCUUCCUGCCCCGCGGCCACUGCAGCUCAUGCCUCUCGCUGGGCAGUGACGGGCACAGCCAGGGCAGAGCCAGGGCGGCGCUGAGCCCGCUGCCCCGAGGCCCCGCACAGGCCCGGGACCCUCUGCCCUCUGCGUCCACAGGGCAGCUCAAUGCUCGCGGGCAGAGCGUGGUGGUGAGUGCGGGGGCCCAGAGGCUCUGGCCCGCCGUCACCGUGCCCUGCCUCAUCUUGCUGUCCCUCCCGGAGGGCGGCACCCCCCGCACAGGACACCAACCCCUGACCCAGAGGGACCUGGGCUGGCCUGGCCCCAGGCUCUGUGGGGGCAGGGGCGACUCGAGAACUGCCCCCCAGGCCCAGCACUAAUGGGAUCCAGUGCUCCGGGGCCCUGGCCAGGCCUGCGUUCUGGCCCCGGGCUGAGCGAGCCCUCUCAGAGCCGGAUGUGGCCUCCUGGGCCCUGGGCGUGCCCCACAGAUCCAGGUCACUGACCUAGGGCAGCCCUGGGGAUCCCGGGACACCCCAGGGCAGGGCAGCAGGGGCAGGCCCGUGGGCCCCACCCGCACCCACACCAGGAGGCAGGCUCCUCCACGUGCUGGGGCUCCAGCAGUCAGUCACCCGGCCCCAGUGGGCCCGAGGCCGGGGUCCAGCUGCCCUGCGGGGACCUAGAGCAGGAGCCCAUGGGCCGCAGGUCCAGGCCAGCUCUGCUGUCCCCAGAACCGCCUCUCAACACCCCAACCUCAGGACACACACCCCCACCCGGAGUCCGCACAGGCUCCAAAGUGGGCGACUCCAGCACCCGUACCCCCGUGGGAUUCCCGCUUUCCUCUAAGGACAGGAAGGUCUCCCAGGGGAAGGCGCACACCCUCGGCUCUGAGCCCGUUUGCUGUUGCAAGUUCAAUAAGGUGUUGUGUGAAAAUGCACGGCCGGCUCGUUUCUGCGUCUCCCGGAGCUCUGUGCACGGGGUGCGGCCAUACGCCAGGGUCAAGACCAUCAAAUAAUUUACUGCGACUCAGCCUUUGCCCCGCGGGCAAGGACGGGACUGGGGGAGAGUGACAGCCGGGGGGGCCCGUGGCCUCAGUUCACGACAGUCUGUGCAAAGCGCCCUGGGAGGUCCGUGCUCCCCCUGUCCAGGGGGCCUGGGCUGGCCGGGCCCCGGGGGCGCUUCCUUCCUUCCUCGCCCUCCUCCUUCCUCCUUCCGCGCCUCCUCCCAGCUUCCGGCACCUCCUCGCCCCGAGCCUGUGCGCCUGGGGCACAGAGGACCAGCGGGGCUGCCAACGUGGCCCUGGAGGGGACGUCAGGACAGCAGGCACUUGCAGCUCAUGCAGCCUGGGCCUCCCUCGUCGGGCGGGCUCAGCUUGCGCACCUUGUGCUGUCGAAUCUCUCGCACCAGCGUGUAGAAGGCAUCCUCCACGCCCUGGGAAGACGGGGCUGGCUGAGCGUGCGGCUCGGCCCGGGGGCCUGGCAGCGCAGGGGACCGAGGGACCCCAGCGUCAAGCUCAUGCAUCAUCCCAGCUCCCCCUGGCCUCUCCCCACCCCGCCCCCACACAGGCAGCCCCAGGGCUCCCCCCAUCAGGCGGCUUGGCCCUCAGGAGCUCCCCCACAGGGCAGCCCCGAGGUCUGGCUCCCAGCUCUAACAUCCAGGGUCCCGCUCCUGUCUGACCUACCACCCUGGUCCCCCACAGCCCAUUAAAGAGGGCAGGGCCUACACGGGCCCAUGGGGCUUUCUGCGGGCAGGGGCCAGGGCCCCAGGGUCACCACUCGGCCUGGCUCAGGGCAGCUCUCUCUGGGGACCUCUGCCUCUCCCUGGAGCUGUGUCAGCCCAAACCCUGGGCCCCGGCCUCCCUCGCUGCCCUGCCGUCCGGGGACACUUACAGCGCUAGGGGCCGCUGGGUCACGGGGGUCCCGGAGGGUCCCAGAGGGUCCCGGAGCUGGAGCCAGAGCCAGACCGGCUGCCCUGUGUCG